AACGAACGCUGGCGGCAUGCCUAACACAUGCAAGUCGAACGAGAUCUUCGGGUCUAGUGGCGCACGGGUGCGUAACGCGUGGGAAUCUGCCCUUUGGUUCGGAAUAACAGUUGGAAACGACUGCUAAUACCGGAUGAUGACGAAAGUCCAAAGAUUUAUCGCCAGAGGAUGAGCCCGCGUAGGAUUAGCUAGUUGGUGUGGUAAAGGCGCACCAAGGCGGCGAUCCUUAGCUGGUCUGAGAGGAUGAUCAGCCACACUGGGACUGAGACACGGCCCAGACUCCUACGGGAGGCAGCAGUGGGGAACAUUGGACAAUGGGCGAAAGCCUGAUCCAGCAAUGCCGCGUGAGUGAUGAAGGCCUUAGGGUUGUAAAGCUCUUUUACCCGGGAUGAUAAUGACAGUACCGGGAGAAUAAGCUCCGGCUAACUCCGUGCCAGCCGCCGCAGUAA
rnacentral:rRNA from 1 species